UGAUGCCAUUUUGGUAGGCCUCAUUCAGUGGUUUCGUCUUUCGCCUCGUGCAAAAACAUUGCAUGUUGUAAGUAGAAAUUAUUUGAUAAGAGACGACUCCAGUGUGUGGUUGACAUUGUUCGCGUUUAGUCACUUCGGCAGACGCCAUUCUAAGGAAAUCAUUUAUGUUGGAUUAGUUAUCGCGGGACGUACGCAUUUUGUAUUACGCGGCGGCACAGUCGAACAGUCGUCGUCCAGUGUUGACGACACGGCUCCCAGCGAACAAAGGAAUACUAAGAUUCAACAAACAAAAUCAGCCGGACUCAUUCAGUCCUUUGAGGGCUAGCCGAUUGUGGACAAUCAGCGAGCUUACUGCAAACUUUGGUUUUGUUUUGAUACAUCGAGAAGCCUUCCUUUUUUUAAAAAACAAAAAAAUGGCUGAAGUAUACAUAAAAGUGGCAGAGGAGGAAAACGAGGAGCCCAUGGAGAUCCCAUCCGAAGACGACGGCACUGUUCUGCUUUCAACCGUGGCAGCUCAGUUUCCAGGGGCGUGCGGCCUGCGCUUCAGGAGCCCCGUGUCUCAGUGCAUGCGAGGAGUGCGUCUCGUGGAGGGGGUCCUGCACGCUCCAGAGAAUGGAUGGGGGAAUGUCGUAUAUGUGGUGAACUAUCCAAAAGACAUACCCCCAGACAACAAGAGGAAGAUGGAGGAAAUUGAUGCCUCCUCUGCGGUGAAAAUGAAGAGAGGAGACAUGAAGACAUCUGACCUGAUAGUCCUGGGUCUUCCUUGGAAAACAACUGAGCAGGACCUCAAAGACUACUUUAGCACAUUUGGAGAAGUCAUCAUGGUUCAGGUUAAACGAGAUGCUAAGACUGGCAACUCCAAAGGAUUUGGCUUUGUGAGGUUCACAGAGUACGAGGCUCAAGAAAAGGUGAUCUCCCAGCGCCAUAUGAUUGAUGGAAGAUGGUGUGACUGCAAGCUCCCUAACUCGAAGCAGGGACCAGACGAGCCGCUGAGGAGCCGAAAAGUGUUUGUUGGCCGUUGCACAGAAGACAUGACCACUGAUGACCUAAGGCAGUUCUUUAUGCAGUAUGGAGAAGUCACAGAUGUCUUCAUCCCUAAGCCAUUCCGUGCUUUUGCUUUUGUCACAUUCGCAGAUGAUCAGGUUGCCCAGUCUCUCUGUGGAGAGGACCUAAUAAUCAAAGGUGUCAGCGUUCACAUCUCAAAUGCAGAGCCCAAACACGGCAAUAGGCAAUUUGAUCGUACAACACGGUUUGGAAAUGGUUUUGGAGCUCAGGCAUUUACCAGCAGCAGAAGUAGUGGGUUAGGGAGCAGCACUAACAGUAGUUUGGCAAACUUUGGGUCCUUCAGUCUGAACCCUGCCAUGAUGGCUGCUGCUCAGGCUGCUCUGCAGAGUAGUUGGGGUAUGAUGGGUAUGCUGGCUAGUCAGCAGCAAACAUCCACCUCUGGCAGCACCUCCAGUGGAACAAGCUCAAGCAGAGACCAGAGUCAGUUUUCUAGUACAGGUAACAGCAACUAUGGCACUAGCUCUGCUAGUCUCGGCUGGGAACAGGGUCCAACUCUACAACAAGUGGAAGUGGGUUUAGCUCAGGUUUGGGUCGAGUAUGGAGUCAAAGUCGUCUGGGUGGGGUAUGUAAGUUAAAUGUUUGUAUGGUAAGUAUUGUGAAAAAGAUGAGUCUUUUCAAAGUUUAUUUCUGGUGUUGAUGCGUAUCUGAAAACUUAACACUUUUGUGGAAGAUGUUUUGUACAUUUGGAAAAAUGCUAAAGAUUUAAUUUAGAACGUGGCGAAUUGAGUUGUUUACCAGGAUGUCUGACUAAAGUGCUAUUUUUGAUGUCUCAUUCGUUUGUAUCCAUUUCAACUGGAUUCUCUAAUGCAUGUAUUGUAAAAUGUGAUAUAACCAUUUUGAAAAUGCAUGAAUGUUUGUGGUUCACCAUUAUCCGGCUUUGUCAUCGACCCAAAAGGCAAUCUUGCAUUGAGAAGAAUCUGGUUGAAACCUAAAUGUUUUAAGUGCAACUUUAUUUGCAGUCAAGUUCUGUGGAAAAGCCUUCAUUGAAAUCUCUUCUGCAGUUCACCUCUCUUCCAUUUUCCUGUGAGGAAGCUCCUCUUUGGCAGCAUUCUUGGGGUGAUAUCGGUAUCAAUCUCCCUCUUCCCACCUGUAAAUGCUAUGCCAUCAAAGAACGGCUUCACCACGCAUGUUCUAAGAGACGGGACCUUGGGCUCUGCUGGUCGAGGUCUCCGUUUGAAUCCUGACUGAGGUCUGUUCUGAAGAACGAAGACGGAAGUACCAACACUUUCAGUGUGUGGCCUUCUCAGACAUGACAUGGGGUAGUACCUGUCUUUUUGCUGCUUUUGAUGGCUUUUAGAGUGAAUUGUCCUUCAUAGAUCAUUCACAGCUAGUUUUAAGGUUAGAGGAUAGUUUUGUCUAUAUCUGAAUCUUAGACACAAGCUCAGCGAUGUGGAAUUGCAUAUAUCACUUCGUUAUUGCUAAUUUGGGUAAAGUAUUCAAGUGAUGUUUGUAUAGUCUUAAACACCAAGUGGCCACUUUUAAGGACCACCUGUAUGAUCUACUACAGUGUAACAGUUGUGUUUACCAGUGGGCUAUACUUUAUAUUCAGCAUCACUGUGUUGAGUGUCUGAUGAGCCUUCUUAGUUUGUCAAAUGGCAACCAAAAGUUGUAAAUUAAGCAAAUUGUGCCUUAACCCUACAGGAGAGCUCCAACUUAAACAGGUGUUUUUUUAUAUUUGUGAUUAUCCUGUAUGCACAGUUUUUUAAUCAAACAUUUUUAAAAAUCAAAGUUUAGUUUUGUUAAAGGGAGCCCCUUUAAUCAUCAGACCUAAAUGUUAAAACACAACUCAACCCCUAAAUUGUCUUAAGCGGUGUAAUACAGAUUUUCUGGCAGGUGUAUUAGAUUGCACAGGUGGUUCUGACAGUGGCACAUGUACUCUAUGGUAAGUGGUAAACGCACCAACAGAUCAUUUUGGAGAUUAAUAGCAGGUAUAUUAGUUGUCCCAGCUUCUCUAAUAGAUUUUUUAGUUUGCAUCAGGCUUUUUUGUAGUUACUGUGACUUAGAAUGGACUUUAUCAAUAAAACAAAUCAAAAAAAAUCAUAAGGCAUUAUUUUGUCUGGACACAAAUGCCUAAUGCAUUAUAAUUUGACAGAUCAGCAGGUCCCAGGGUAGAUGACGCUUGAAAAUGAUUUGCUCAAAAAUACUGUGAUAUGAAAUAAGACACGCUGUGAAUUUUAUUAAAGUUUCAAUGCAUGCUUCCCAUAAAUUAGCGAUCGUACUUUGUUAAACUCAAUGUUAUGUAUUGGUCUGCCUUGAUGUUGAUUUGAAUGUUGGGCUUCAGUGAGACACUGCUGGCCUGCCUGUGUCUUGUCAUUCUCUGCCUUCCUCCUCAGUGUCUCUGCUCUUCCUCUUCCCGGUAUUCUUCUUUUUCAAAUCCCUCUGCUCCUGGUUCAGUUCUUCACUUUUAUUUUGUAUGUAGAUGGACUGAAAUAAAUAAAAGCAAAUUAAACAUUA